rnacentral:rRNA from 1 species
GACCCCGCACAAGCGGUGGAGCAUGUGGUUUAAUUCGACGCAACGCGAAGAACCUUACCUGGUCUUGACAUCCUGCGAACUUUCUAGAGAUAGAUUGGUGCCUUCGGGAACGCAGUGACAGGUGCUGCAUGGCUGUCGUCAGCUCGUGUCGUGAGAUGUUGGGUUAAGUCCCGUAACGAGCGCAACCCUUGUCCUUAUUUGCCAUCAUUUAGUUGGGCACUCUAGGGAGACUGCCGGUGACAAACCGGAGGAAGGUGGGGGACGACGUCAAGUCAUCAUGGCCCUUACGACCAGGGCUACACACGUGCUACAAUGGGGCGUACAAAGGGUUGCAAUCCCGCGAGGGGGAGCU